AGUGAACGCUGGCGGUAGGCCUAAUACAUGCAAGUCGAACGGCAGCACAGUAAGAGCUCGCUCUUACGGGUGGCGAGUGGCGGACGGGUGAGGCAUACAUCGGAAUCUUCUUUUUCGUGGGGGAUAACGUAGGGAAACUUACGCUACCACCGCAUACGACCUACGGCUGAAAUCAGUGGUUCUUCGGACCUUGCGCGAUUCUAUGAGUCGAUGCCGGAUUAGCUAGUUGGCGGGGUAAAGGCCCACCAAGGCGACGAUCCGUAGCUGGUCUGAGAGGAUGAUCAGCCACACUGGAACUGAGACACGGUCCAGACUCCUACGGGAGGCAGCAGUGGGGAAUAUUGGACAAUGGGCGCAAGCCUGAUCCAGCCAUACCGCGUGGGUGAAGAAGGCCUUCGGGUUGUAAAGCCCUUUUGUUGGGAAAGAAAAGCAGCAGGUUAAUACCCCGCUGUUCUGACGGUACCCAAAGAAUAAGCACCGGCUAACUUCGUG
rnacentral:rRNA from 1 species